UACGUAUGGGGCAAGCGUUAUCCGGAUUUACUGGGUGUAAAGGGAGCGUAGGCGGCCUGGCAAGCCUGAUGUGAAAUACCGGGGCCCAACCCCGGGGCUGCAUUGGGAACUGCCAGGCUGGAGUGCCGGAGAGGCAGGCGGAAUUCCUAGUGUAGCGGUGAAAUGCGUAGAUAUUAGGAGGAACACCAGUGGCGAAGGCGGCCUGCUAGACGGUGACUGACGCUGAGGCUCGAAAGCGUGGGGAGCAAACAGG
rnacentral:rRNA from 1 species